AGAGAGAGACAUGCGCGCAUAUCAAUAAGCGGAGGAAAAGAAACUAACAAGGAUUCCCUUAGUAACGGCGAGUGAAGCGGGAAGAGCUCAAAUUUGAAAUCUUCAAGGUUCUACCUUGACGAAUUGUAGUUUAUAGAAGUGUUUUCUGUUAGUGGAGUGGCAAAAGUUCUUUGGAAUAGGACAUCAUAGAGGGUGAGAAUCCCGUAUUUGGUCAUUCCUCCUAGCGUUGUGAUACACUUUCAACGAGUCGGAUUGUUUGGGAAUGCAGUCCAAAAUGGGUGGUAAAUUUCAUCUAAAGCUAAAUAUUGGCGAGAGAGCGAUAGCGAACAAGUACCGUGAGGGAAAGAUGAAAAGAACUUUGAAAAGAGAGUUAAACAGUACGUGAAAUUGUCAAAAGGGAAGCGUUUGACACCAGUGUUGUUUUUCCGAAAAUCAAUUACGAAUGUUUUAUUUUUGAGGAGUUAUGACUUCAUCGGCUUGCUCCUUUCUUUAUGAAACUUUCUUAAUGCACUUUUCGGUUAACAAGUCAACAUCAAUUUCUUUUGUUGUAAAAGGGUAUGAGGAAGGUGGCUUUCUUUUCGGAGAAAGUGUUUAUAGCCUUGUGCCUCUGCAAUCGGAGAGAUUGAGAUCUGCAGCGUAGAUCCUUCGGGGUUAGAUACGUUUGUGCUAAGUUAUAGCUUUUCAUAGACAACUUGUUGACUAUGUUUAGUCUUGUAGCUUACUCGCUUACUGCUAUUUUACCUACGCUUAGGAUGUUGAUAGUCACAGCGUGUA
rnacentral:rRNA from 1 species